CAGUAGCCACGGUAAUACGGAGGGUGCAAGCGUUAAUCGGAAUUACUGGGCGUAAAGCGCACGCAGGCGGUCUGACAAGUCAGAUGUGAAAUCCCCGGGCUUAACCUGGGAACUGCAUUUGAAACUGUCAGGCUGGAGUCUUGUAGAGGGGGGUAGAAUUCCAGGUGUAGCGGUGAAAUGCGUAGAGAUCUGGAGGAAUACCGGUGGCGAAGGCGGCCCCCUGGACAAAGACUGACGCUCAGGUGCGAAAGCGUGGGGAGCAAACAGGAUUAGAGACCCCGGUAGUCCCUGUCUCUUAUAC
rnacentral:rRNA from 1 species